rnacentral:rRNA from 1 species
UACGGAGGGUGCAAGCGUUAUCCGGAUUCACUGGGUUUAAAGGGUGCGUAGGUGGGUUUGUAAGUCAGUGGUGAAAUCUCCAGGCUUAACCUGGAAACUGCCGUUGAUACUAUAGAUCUUGAAUUUUCUGGAGGUAAGCGGAAUAUAUCAUGUAGCGGUGAAAUGCUUAGAUAUGACAUAGAACACCAAUUGCGAAGGCAGCUUGCUACAGGAAUAUUGACACUGAGGCACGAAAGCGUGGGGAUCAAACAGG